CACACCAAGCGAUCUCAAAUACACAUUGUUUUGACGCUUGUAGCCCACUGCAUGUACGAUAACCCCGACCGAGCAGCAAACAAGGCAAGCAACACACUCUCUUGUUCUCGCUUACUCUACUUAUCUUUCCCUUCAUCAUCAUCGUCAUCCUUCCAUCAGCCGGCAAUUCCGUCGUUCGACCACGCAAGCAAAUUGUAGCGUUCUCUGCAUGGCUCACGUUAUGACGCAGAUAACUAUUGGCCUCCCGAGCGGGACACUUACACAUAUGGGGGCCGAUUUUGGUCCUUCGAAACGAAAUAUGGUGCUCGUGUUCCGUUGGUUGGCUGGGUCCAAUGUGCGUUAUAGGGCGCAUUACAGCUCUGUUAAUAAUGUAAGGUAAGUCGCCUUUUCUAACAAGAAGAAACUCGUGCUCACCACCGUCUGAAGGUAUGGGUUGACGAUAAUAAAGAGCGAAAAGGACGGAAGCUAACGGAGAAACAAAGAGAGCAUCUUAGUUGGCCUGGGCCGGGGGGGCUGAUGUGUUGUGGCAGCCAAACGCAUGACGAAGCGCAUCCGGGAAGGUGUACAGCGCACACACACACACACACACACACACACACUCAUACCCAUAUAGACCUAUCGCAAGCAAAGCCAGCGCGACAUUUGAACGUUCAGAAAAAGAAAAGACGAUGAUGAUGAUGAUGAGGAUUACGUGUUUCUUUCUGUGCUAUUUACUCUUGCGGACAAAUCCACAGCCCAUCGCAUUUACUCCGCCAGCAAACAACAAAACCGUCCUUCUAGGUGCUUUUCGUGAAGACGUGAACAAAAACAACAGAGAACCCCUGCCACCCAUGCACGAUAUACCCGAACGGGUUAUUCUCCGUUUAACAUCUUUUACUUAUUCGCCAUUUCUUGGACCCGAUCAACCAUAUCUACAACCGGAUUUCUACAGCAGCAGCAUCCGACAACAGCACAACAAAACAACUUAAUCGAGGACAAAAAAAACACUACAUUUUCGCUUCUCUAUCGCACACACAACACAACACAAACGAAGCAUUUUUUCGUUGUCAUUGCGAAAAAAGAAAUACACAAGUAAUCGUCAAUAGUCAACAAAAAAAAAUCCCCAGCGAGAGAAACGAAACGAAAAAUACAAUUUUUGUUUGCAACCAAGCAGCAGCAAAAGAUCGACCGCUUUCACAGACGGGUGUGUGUGUGUAGUGUGGGGGUGCGGAGGUGGGUGCUGCCUUCCCUUUUAUCAAUGCGACUUUAUAAACAACACAGGAGUAUGCGUGUCGUCAAUCCUUUUCUACAGCACGGCAGUGUUGUAAUAGUAGUGGUGGUGAUGGUGGUUGGUGGUUGUUUCGCUGCCCACUACACUACACUGCUGAUAUUUGAUAUCACUUUAGCACUAAUGCGCGCUGCAAGCUCAAUGUCCAAUCAAGUAAAGAACCGUAUACACAUCAUACACGAGCACAAAUUUUGGCUCAGUAGGCACGUUUUUCGAAUGCCUACGCGAUAAAACCACAAUAAUUGUGUGUACGCUGACAGUAAUCAAUCCAAAUUACUGGUUUCAUUCUGGGAAAACUUUAAUGAAGUCCAGUCGAAGUAUACCUUUCAAGGACAUUUCGAACAUAUUAGCAGCUGAGUAUCUGUCGGUGAAAUUACUCGAAAAACAUUAGGCAGAUUUGGUUUUGUCCAUUUAGUCUUUCAAAUAAUAUUCGCAACGAAAGUAAACAUAUAAUAUAGUAACAGUAAUAUGAUAGAUAUAUGGACGUCAUAUACUUUUGUUUUUCAACGUUUAUUGUUCUUGUCAGUUUGCAAGAGUUCCACCCUUCUUUUGAUUGCUGCUUGAACAUGCAAGAUUCGUAUAAAGAAUAAGAAAGUCUCGAGAGGCUGCUGCUAUUGAAGUGCGUUUGAAUAGCCAACCAUCGAGAAACAGACAGCAGAAAAGACAUUUCGUACAGAGAAUUUAUAGAAUCACGUCAUACGUUUCUGUGCAAGGGACAACACGCAAGAAAAGAACGCACCGCUGCUCAAAUCCAACGUGAUCUGGCGCAAACUGACGAAAACCGGGAUGGAAAUAUGUUAGGGUGUGGUGAAUUUGGUUUGUGCUAAUAUAAAAUUACAGUAGGUAUACAUUUA